UACGGAGGGUGCAAGCGUUAUCCGGAUUCACUGGGUUUAAAGGGUGCGUAGGCGGAUUGUUAAGUCAGUGGUGAAAUCAACGGGCUCAACCUGUUAACUGCCAUUGAUACUGAUGGUCUUGAAUAUGAGGGAGGCAGGCGGAAUGUUGCAUGUAGCGGUGAAAUGCUUAGAUAUGCUACGGAACACCGAUUGCGAAGGCAGCUUGCUACUUCAUGAUUGACGCUGAGGCACGAAAGCGUGGGGAGCGAACAGGAUUAGAUACCCUGGUAGUCCACGCCCUAAACGAUGAUUACUCGACAUUGGCGAUAUACUGAUCAGUGUCUGAGCGAAAGCGUUAAGUAAUCCACCUGGGGAGUACGCCCGCAAGGGUGAA
rnacentral:rRNA from 1 species